rnacentral:tRNA from 1 species
AAAAAUUUAGUUAAAUUUAUAACAUUAGUUUGUCAAACUAAAAUUAAUAUCAAUUAUUAAUUUUU